rnacentral:rRNA from 1 species
ACUAAGCGUACACGGUGGAUGCCCUGGCAGUCAGAGGCGAUGAAGGACGUGCUAAUCUGCGAUAAGCGUCGGUAAGGUGAUAUGAACCGUUAUAACCGGCGAUUUCCGAAUGGGGAAACCCAGUGUGAUUCGUCACACUAUCAUUAACUGAAUCCAUAGGUUAAUGAGGCGAACCGGGGGAACUGAAACAUCUAAGUACCCCGAGGAAAAGAAAUCAACCGAGAUUCCCCCAGUAGCGGCGAGCGAACGGGGAGCAGCCCAGAGCCUGAAUCAGUGUGUGUGUUAGUGGAAGCGUCUGGAAAGGCGCGCGAUACAGGGUGACAGCCCCGUACACAAAAAUGCACAUGCUGUGAGCUCGAUGAGUAGGGCGGGACACGUGGUAUCCUGUCUGAAUAUGGGGGGACCAUCCUCCAAGGCUAAAUACUCCUGACUGACCGAUAGUGAACCAGUACCGUGAGGGAAAGGCGAAAAGAACCCCGGCGAGGGGAGUGAAAAAGAACCUGAAACCGUGUACGUACAAGCAGUGGGAGCACAGAGCAAUCUGUGUGACUGCGUACCUUUUGUAUAAUGGGUCAGCGACUUAUAUUCUGUAGCAAGGUUAACCGAAUAGGGGAGCCGAAGGGAAACCGAGUCUUAACUGGGCGUUAAGUUGCAGGGUAUAGACCCGAAACCCGGUGAUCUAGCCAUGGGCAGGUUGAAGGUUGGGUAACACUAACUGGAGGACCGAACCGACUAAUGUUGAAAAAUUAGCGGAUGACUUGUGGCUGGGGGUGAAAGGCCAAUCAAACCGGGAGAUAGCUGGUUCUCCCCGAAAGCUAUUUAGGUAGCGCCUCGUGAAUUCAUCUCCGGGGGUAGAGCACUGUUUCGGCAAGGGGGUCAUCCCGACUUACCAACCCGAUGCAAACUGCGAAUACCGGAGAAUGUUAUCACGGGAGACACACGGCGGGUGCUAACGUCCGUCGUGAAGAGGGAAACAACCCAGACCGCCAGCUAAGGUCCCAAAGUCAUGGUUAAGUGGGAAACGAUGUGGGAAGGCCCAGACAGCCAGGAUGUUGGCUUAGAAGCAGCCAUCAUUUAAAGAAAGCGUAAUAGCUCACUGGUCGAGUCGGCCUGCGCGGAAGAUGUAACGGGGCUAAACCAUGCACCGAAGCUGCGGCAGCGACGCUUAUGCGUUGUUGGGUAGGGGAGCGUUCUGUAAGCCUGUGAAGGUGUGCUGUGAGGCAUGCUGGAGGUAUCAGAAGUGCGAAUGCUGACAUAAGUAACGAUAAAGCGGGUGAAAAGCCCGCUCGCCGGAAGACCAAGGGUUCCUGUCCAACGUUAAUCGGGGCAGGGUGAGUCGACCCCUAAGGCGAGGCCGAAAGGCGUAGUCGAUGGGAAACAGGUUAAUAUUCCUGUACUUGGUGUUACUGCGAAGGGGGGACGGAGAAGGCUAUGUUGGCCGGGCGACGGUUGUCCCGGUUUAAGCGUGUAGGCUGGUUUUCCAGGCAAAUCCGGAAAAUCAAGGCUGAGGCGUGAUGACGAGGCACUACGGUGCUGAAGCAACAAAUGCCCUGCUUCCAGGAAAAGCCUCUAAGCAUCAGGUAACAUCAAAUCGUACCCCAAACCGACACAGGUGGUCAGGUAGAGAAUACCAAGGCGCUUGAGAGAACUCGGGUGAAGGAACUAGGCAAAAUGGUGCCGUAACUUCGGGAGAAGGCACGCUGAUAUGUAGGUGAAGUCCCUCGCGGAUGGAGCUGAAAUCAGUCGAAGAUACCAGCUGGCUGCAACUGUUUAUUAAAAACACAGCACUGUGCAAACACGAAAGUGGACGUAUACGGUGUGACGCCUGCCCGGUGCCGGAAGGUUAAUUGAUGGGGUUAGCGCAAGCGAAGCUCUUGAUCGAAGCCCCGGUAAACGGCGGCCGUAACUAUAACGGUCCUAAGGUAGCGAAAUUCCUUGUCGGGUAAGUUCCGACCUGCACGAAUGGCGUAAUGAUGGCCAGGCUGUCUCCACCCGAGACUCAGUGAAAUUGAACUCGCUGUGAAGAUGCAGUGUACCCGCGGCAAGACGGAAAGACCCCGUGAACCUUUACUAUAGCUUGACACUGAACAUUGAGCCUUGAUGUGUAGGAUAGGUGGGAGGCUUUGAAGUGUGGACGCCAGUCUGCAUGGAGCCGACCUUGAAAUACCACCCUUUAAUGUUUGAUGUUCUAACGUUGACCCGUAAUCCGGGUUGCGGACAGUGUCUGGUGGGUAGUUUGACUGGGGCGGUCUCCUCCUAAAGAGUAACGGAGGAGCACGAAGGUUGGCUAAUCCUGGUCGGACAUCAGGAGGUUAGUGCAAUGGCAUAAGCCAGCUUGACUGCGAGCGUGACGGCGCGAGCAGGUGCGAAAGCAGGUCAUAGUGAUCCGGUGGUUCUGAAUGGAAGGGCCAUCGCUCAACGGAUAAAAGGUACUCCGGGGAUAACAGGCUGAUACCGCCCAAGAGUUCAUAUCGACGGCGGUGUUUGGCACCUCGAUGUCGGCUCAUCACAUCCUGGGGCUGAAGUAGGUCCCAAGGGUAUGGCUGUUCGCCAUUUAAAGUGGUACGCGAGCUGGGUUUAGAACGUCGUGAGACAGUUCGGUCCCUAUCUGCCGUGGGCGCUGGAGAACUGAGGGGGGCUGCUCCUAGUACGAGAGGACCGGAGUGGACGCAUCACUGGUGUUCGGGUUGUCAUGCCAAUGGCACUGCCCGGUAGCUAAAUGCGGAAGAGAUAAGUGCUGAAAGCAUCUAAGCACGAAACUUGCCCCGAGAUGAGUUCUCCCUGACCCUUUAAGGGUCCUGAAGGAACGUUGAAGACGACGACGUUGAUAGGCCGGGUGUGUAAGCGCAGCGAUGCGUUGAGCUAACCGGUACUAAUGAACCGUGAGGCUUAACC